AACGUAGGUGGCAAGCGUUGUCCGGAUUUAUUGGGUUUAAAGGGUGCGUAGGCGGUUUUAUAAGUCAGUGCUGAAAUAUCCCGGCUUAACCGGGAGGGUGGCAUUGAUACUGUAGGACUUGAGUAAAGUUGAGGUAGGCGGAAUUGACGGUGUAGCGGUGAAAUGCUUAGAUAUCGUCAAGAACACCGAUAGUGAAGACAGCUUACUAAACUUUAACUGACGCUGAGGCACGAAAGUGUGGGGAUCAAACAGG
rnacentral:rRNA from 1 species